CACUGACGCAGCGACGCGCGUGAGUUGAGGAAGGUCUUCGGGUCGUAAAGCUCUGUCAAAGGGRGAAGAAGUGUAUAGCGGUUAAUAUAUGUUAUAUUUGACGGUACCCUUAAAGGAAGCACCGGCUAACUCCGUGCCAGCAGCCGCGGUAAUACGGAGGGUGCAAGCGUUGUUCGGAAUUACUGGGCGUAAAGGGCGCGUAGGCGGCUUGGUAAGUCAGAUGUGAAAGCCCACGGCUUAACCGUGGAAGUGCAUUUGAUACUGCUAGGCUUGAGUACCAGAGGGGAAAGUGGAAUUCCCGGUGUAGAGGUGAAAUUCGUAGAUAUCGGGAGGAAUACCGGUGGCGAAGGCGACUUUCUGGCUGAGUACUGACGCUGAGGCGCGAAAGCGUGGGGAGCAAACAGGAUUAGAUACCCUUGUAGUCCACGCUGUAAACGAUGUCAACUAGAUGUAGGGGGUGUUGAUCCCUUCUGUGUCGCAGCUAACGCAUUAAGUUGACCGCCUUGGGAGUACG
rnacentral:rRNA from 1 species